rnacentral:rRNA from 1 species
GAUGAACGCUAGCUACAGGCUUAACACAUGCAAGUCGAGGGGAAACGACAUCGAAAGCUUGCUUUUGAUGGGCGUCGACCGGCGCACGGGUGAGUAACGCGUAUCCAUCCUGCCCACCACUUGGGGAUAACAUUGCGAAAGUAAGACUAAUACCCAAUGAUAUCUCUAGAAGACAUCUGAAAGUGAUUAAAGAUUUAUCGGUGAUGGAUGGGGAUGCGUCUGAUUAGCUUGUUGGCGGGGUAACGGCCCACCACGGCAACGAUCAGUAGGGGUUCUGAGAGGAAGGUCCCCGACAUUGGAACUGGGACACGGGCCAAACUCCUACGGGAGGCAGCAGUGAGGAAUAUUGGUCAAUGGACGAGAGUCUGAACCAGCCAAGUAGCGUGCAGGAAGACGGCCCUAUGGGUUGUAAACUGCUUUUAGUAGGGAAUAAAGGGAGUCUCGGGAGACUUUUUGCAUGUACCUUAUGAAGAAGGACCGGCUAAUUCCGUG